ACUCCAGCAACUUUCUUCCCAGCGCCUCUUUGUGUGGCAGCAUCCUGGGAAACCUUUGUGAAGCCCUUUAGCCCUGUCAGGAGGUAAAGAUUUGUAAAGCACCAAAUCCUACCGUGCUCCUCUGCUUUAUCUCCCUCCGCCCUACGCCUGCCACGGGGCCAUUGGUACGAAGGUUGGCCCGCGAGCAAAACCUCCUUCCCCUUCCCAGCUCUUUGCCGGCAGCCCCCCGCGCAGACAUCCCCGGGCACGGCUGUGCCAGUGCCACCGCAGGGGAAAUCUCUGCGCUGGCAGAAGAUGCUUCAGCAGCGGCUUUCCUUGCCAAGCCCCUAAGCGUGCCAGUCACCGGUGGAAGCGAGGUUUUGAUUUGCUUUUCCUCGCUUUCUGCCAACUCAGCGUACGAGAUGGUGGUACUUUUUGUGAUAUUUUCGUAGUUAACAAACAUUGUGUGCGUGCUGUGAGAAAAAUCCUACGCUGCCGUGAGAUAGCGUGUAAUGUACGCCUGCCUUUACAGUACCUUUUAAAUGAUUUUUCUUUUUCUAAGAAGCCUGUGGGGCUGGAGCAUAACAGAGGAAGACGGGACAAGCUGAGAAGAAACAACAGAGAGGAAAAUCUUUGAGUUUGUGGCCAUCAGAGCAAAAAGGGACUGGAGGGAUUCUGAUUCUUUGACAGAUUUGACUUCAAAUGUGCAAGUGACAAAAACUGGUACCUCAGGAUAAUCCUGCCUCUCAUUAGUGGACUGCCUGAAAAUCAGCUGGUUUUGGGGAAGAGUACAAAAACCCCAUGGGAGAAGAGAUGCGUAAUAUUUCAGCUGUUCACUGUCUGCUUUGUUGCAGAAAGUAUCUUUAUGGUCACAUGUUUGAAAGGAUCAGGAGGUGUAAGCAGUGACCCCCCGAGUGCUUCAGACAGAGAACUGCAAAUUUGGGGGAUUUUCAGUGCUCUGUGGUCUGGUGACAUGCAGUGUGAUGCCAGAGUAUGUUACCUCUCUGUGGGAUAGCUAUCCCAAUUUAAAAACUACCUGCUAAAACUCUUGUUAAGACAUGGCAAUUUGUUUUAAACUGGCUGCUAGUUUUGUAAGAGCCAAGACUCUUGGGUAGGGUUGUGAAUAAGUGUGCAAGUGGCUGAACUUGAAGAGCUCACCUCAGCAGUUCCUAUCAGUAACUAACAAUCGACUGCACCGUUAUCGUGAUAUCUAUACUUUAUCCAAUGAAAGUGUCAUUUAAGUCAAUUUAAUUAGGUUUGAGUUAACGUCUCCUGGGAGCACAUUACAUCUUUUAAAGAUAUCGUUCCAGGCAAGCAGUAGCUUUAGACUGGCACUGCUUCAUUGGUUAAAUUCAUGUAUUUUCAGUUACUGUCAUAACCUUAAGGGCUGAGAGAUGGUUAAAAAAAAAGUGUAGUCUAGAGCAUAAUGACGUGAUAGCUUUUUAAUAAACUGGCAAAUACAUACGUACUAACAUCGCCCUACUAUCAUGCUGUAUCAGGGUCCUGCUGUCUCUUUCAGGGCAGGUGGAUUGGUGAGAAAUGGAACUUGUUUAUUAAAUUUUCAUCUACAAAGGAAAGCCAUCCUUUUCUGUUACAGAAAGUCUUAUAUGGAAUACUGUUAUAAUAAUUAGAAUAAGUUUAGUGUUUUACUGAUUGGAGUAAACAAGGUCUGAAUUCUUAAGUAGGUAAUUUUUAACUUCAGAUCAGAAGUUAUGAUACUGUGACACGCUAGAGGAGGUACUUGUCCCAGAACAUGGUGAGAGCAGCAGUUCAGCUCACUAGUUGCAGUGGUACUCACCAAUUCUGUGGUUAAACUCAUUUUCCUGAACCUCAUUUUUCAGGAAAUUACAGCCAGAUCAAACGGGCUCUUUAAAACAAAGUUAUUUUAAAAUGGAUUUGAUGGUUCCCUACUUACAGUGAUAGCCUUGGUAAAAUAGCAUAACAGGAGAACUGACUAAAUUUACUGAUGGUUUAGAGUCCAGUUCCAUGCUAUUUAUGUACUAGGGUAAGCUCUCUGUCUAGUGGACAGCUUCUGAGUACGUAACAGUAACCAUGUUAAUAUGUAAGUCUCCUUGUUGAACUUAGAGCUGUCUACCAGAACUCUAAUCUGAUGAUCUUCAGUUUACAAUAUAAAACAUCAUUGUUCAGUCACAUUUAAAAUAAAAAUGGAGUCCUAAGCGUAUGUUAGAGUUGCUCCUUUUAUUUUCAUGUUGUGCAUGAGAGGAGCUUAUUUAAGAGGAUGAUAACUUUAAACUGUUUUGACUUUGUUUUCUAAUAUUGUUGUAUAGCUUCUGGUUUUAAGCAUAGAACAAGAAAUACAGGAAGUGUUAAGUAUACAUAUGAGAGCUAGUUACAUAAAAGGAAGGUUGCCAGUAGUACUGCUGCAAUAUUCACAGUUAGAGAUAAAAUCAAUAUAUUUAAUAAUUUAACUCUUAAAUACCAUUGCAGAAAAGGAAGUUCAGUCUUUAUUUUCUAAAUGGUACCAAGACCUACUGUUGCUACAGCAAUGGAGAGGAAGGAAGCAAAAAGCAUUCUUUGUGUAUUUCUGUAGUUUACAGGGCAGUUUACAUCAAUUCAAAAUGUAAGAUGAAACAUGUCAUUCUCGAAGUAAGGCAUUUACUAUACUUCAUCACAUAAGUCUGAAGUUGUUUCACAAAUAACGUCACAAAUAUACAUUUACCAUAAUAUUUACCAUAUUUUCUCUCUUUAAUUGUCCUCUGACAAAAUCAGAGACUUUUUUCUUCCAAAUCAUUCUCCUAUCUCACUGCAAAUUUUAUCUUUAAAGCUUGCUAGCUGUCAUGGGCACGAGUUUUGUUUCAUCAAUAACAUCUUGAUGUAAAAUAUACUCUUUUAAAAGCUUCCUGUUGCUGUAUAAUCUAUAAAAAUAAUGGUGUGAACAUUAAGAUAGAGGAGCUGAUGGCAUUUUAAGAUCAGUGUCAAAGAUUCUAUCCCAGGUUAAGUGAUAGUAAUUAAAAAGACGGGAGACCUGGACACAAGUCUGCACAAAAGCCAGCGAUGGAGCUGAACCAGCACAGCAGCUAUUGGGAAUCAUUGGGCAAGGACAUCUAACCGAACGGUGCUAUGUAAACCACUAAACAGCAUUGGUUUUGACACAUGCAUGUUACCAUUUAAUAUGCAUAAUAAUCCUCAACAUUUAAAAUCUCCUGCUGCAGUGAAGACCGAGGUACUUUUCAGUGGCACAACUGCAUAGGAGGAAUAAUUGUGUAAUGCUAAUGAAAGUGAUGUAAUCAAUUUGCAGUCAUGCUUUCCUGUAAACUCGCUUUUAAUUUCACAUUUGGUAAAUACAGGCACUAUAUCCAAAAAGCAUGCGUCUCCUUCUGUAGACAUGACUGACAAGCCCUACGUGCAAUGUGCUUCCAAAACAAACAUGACUCAAUACCUUUGGGUCGGUAACUCAUACAAACGAUGAAGAAUGUUUUUUGGUAAUGUUCCUAAAGUCUAUCUUAGCAAAACUAGCAAUUCAUAUGUUGGAAAAACAUAAUGAAAAUUGGGUUUAUAAAAAUCUGUAUGCUGUGUGAUAAUUAUCCCUUCUUGUAGGAUACACACAGUUACUCAAACUAGUUGAUUACAUUGCUGUACUUAAGGAAUUUUGUUAUAUAAAAAAAUAAACACAUUUUUGAAAUCUACGGUUUUACCAGACCAGCGUGUCUUUCAGCGCGAGCACUGUGAUAGCUACUUGUGACAUAAAGCACACGAAAGAAAAACAAACUAUGUGAUUUGGGGAACUUGCAGAAACCCAUUUUUUGUUUAAUUUCACAGUGAUGGAAUCACAGAUGUGGGAAAGUUCACAGUUGGCACAGUGUGAAGUGAAUUUUCAUGUACGCCAGGCACGAGGUUCUCAGCAGAAGUUACCAGUUAAUAUCAUGGGGAGUCCCCAGAUCCUAAGUUGACCCCUGCAAGUAGUUACAAACCUCUCAGUUGGGAUCCUCUUACCUAUAGUUUGCUAGUUAACCAAGGAAAUAAUUCACUGUUUCUCUAUCUGUUUCACAAUGUCAGUUUACUUAAAAUAGAAACCGUUUCGUGCUGAGCUAUGGCACGAUGUAUUUGGCUUCUGAAAGGCUGAAAAGGCUGUUAGAAAAUAUCAAAGGGGUUAAUUAGGAAAGUGAACAGUCAGAGGAGUAACAAGCGCUUCCUCCAAACCCGUGCUCAAAGUGAUGUUUAUUAAAGGUGUGUACCUAUCAAGACUGCCAGAUGAAUGUUACUUGUUUGGAGUUAAAAAAUUAAAAUAAAA